rnacentral:lncRNA from 1 species
AAUUAACUCUAUCGAGAGAAACCUGGCGAUGAUAACUGCUGGUUUCUGAAUUACACCUUCACACCUCAAUACUAUCAGCUGUGAAUCUACUGAGUUCAAUUAUGUGGCAAAUGUGUCACGUUCUGAAUUACACCUUCACACCUCACCUUCACACCUUAAUACUAUCAGCUAUGAAUCUUCUGAGUUAAAUUGUGUAUGUGGCAAAUGUGUCGUGGCUGCUACGCUGAUUCUUUUAAGUGUUACUUUCAUGCUUCAAUUAGCACCUCACCUAGGAUUUCUGUCAAGAAACAUGAAAUUCUAUAUAUAUUGGGCACUGUAAGUUCUCUGUUAUAUUUUGUUCUGAGUGUUAAUUUUGAAUUAUAUCAAUAUCUAGAAUGAUCAAGUGUUGCAAGUUUAUGUGAUAUUUAGUUCUAUAGU